GUCGGGUAGGAUGUAUGGAGCAAUCAUCCUCGUAACCAAGAAGAAGAUGACGGCGAUGUUAUGAUUAUUUUCACUUUCUUUCAUCUCUAGGAAGUUGAUUGCAGGAAUUGACGAGUGCUGAGGGAUGAUCUUCUCUUGCCGUGGCCUGAGAGAUGAUUAUAAAACGAGUCUUUUGCGUAAGAAAACAAAGGGAUGGCACAGCUAAAACGAUGUCGCUUUGUUCUUGUCCUAUCUAGAACAAGAGGGAGGGGGGCGGGAGUUGUACCAGCAUCUUGCUGCCCAGAAAUAGGUAUGGAGUUGAAGGCUGCUUAAUUUAGGGCUUGGUGGAGAAAUCCUCUUUCAAACAUCAAUUUGUUAUACGUAUGUUGUUAAAAAUUGUGUAAUUAAUUAAAUAUUAAAGAGUUGGAGAAAAAAUGGAGCAUAGUUUAUGGAAUCAUUUGCCGUUACUAGUAAGAGCAAACUCUAAAGAAUCAGUAGAGUACAUUCUUCAAGCUCUCUGGCGAACUCGUCAAACCGGUCUCGAUUCCGCCGACCGACUUGUCAUUAGCGACAUCCUCCAACUCCCAAACGACACCGAUCUCGACCCCUUAUUGGUUUGUCUUCGAAUGCUGAUUCGAAGGUGUGUGUACGAGAAUGUAAGCAAAGAUGAUAUUCAGAAGUUGUUUCCUGAAGAGGUUUUGCCGGAAUUGCAAAGGUUGUUGACGCUUUUACUGCAGAAGUUUCAGACAGAGUGGCGCGCGGAUGUGUUCAAAGAUCAGGUUGGUUUUCCACGGUUGAAGGCAAUGACAUGGAAUAUGGCGAACCAGGAUGCAGCGGAAGGGACUGAUCCUGUCGCUGUUAUCAAUUUGAAGCUUCAAGAUGAUACACAGUCUCACUCAGAAGUGAAGUUCCAAUUAGGUAAAGAUACUCUAGAAACAAUGGUGAAGUCCAUGUACUGCAUAAGAGACCAAUUGUCUGACUUGGGUGGGGCAUCAAGUAGGCAGUUAUCUCAGGGAACCAACAUAGUCUAGGAAGCUAGUAACUCUUGCUUGUAGCAAUGCCUGAAAUGGAAUGGUAUGGGCCAUGUCUUGGACUUGGAAUCUAUCCGCUGCAAGAUUUGACAUGGGUGGAGCCUUUACCAUCUUCAGUCCAGAAUGAAGAGCGAGGCCGAAGGUUUGCCUGGCGUUAUUUUAAUGUGUAUCUGUCACAGGCCGAAGGUUUAGAAUCUCCUUGAAGUUAAGUUCAUAGUCAUUGAGUUCGUGGUCGAUAGAGGAUGACCAAGCAUUUAAAAAUGCAAUAUUAUUGUAGUCGAUGGAUAUGCAAAUUGAUCCAUUGUAUUCAUGGACCAAGUCUUGGCCUAGAUUUAUAGCACUCCUGCACUCAUGACACAAGCAGCUGUCGUGACACAAGCAGCUGUCGUGGGUGGAGUUGCAAAUUGACGUGCAAUGAAACAGAUGAUGUCCAAAAAUAUUCAACAAGAUUUUUGUACUGGAAAAUCGGUUCUAUUAAUUUGAUUUAUUUUUA